GACCGAUUGGCCUAGUGGUUACGGCGCUCGCUUUACAUCGUGAACGCGAGAGAUCGCAGGUUCGAUCCCUGCAUCGGUCA
rfam:Aspergillus nomius NRRL 13137 contig00084, whole genome shotgun sequence.